rnacentral:rRNA from 1 species
GUAUCACUACCCAGUUCCGCAUCAUUUCCUAAAAUGAUGAUCUCAUUAUUAACUAUUCUUGCAAAACCGCUCCACAGAACCGCCAACCAUUCAUCGUUGAGGAGGCAUAUUCUCAAAUGGCUCACAUCUACUAUUGUGUUAAUGGGGGUGUGGUUUUGUAAUACGCUAAUUCCACAAUUAGUGGUUAAAAUGAUUUCUUUCACUUCACAAUCCCAUAUUCCAAAAAUUUCGUCGGUGAGGGUGAUUUGGAAAUAUAAAAUGGAUCAGUGGCAUUGCCCGCAGGACCAACGCAAUCGGGGUUAUGUUAUGUAUCAACGGCGUUGGCUAAAAAACAGGUGCCCCUGGUAUAUUUGA